GCUGGGUGCGAUAGCGCACGCCUGUAAUCCCAGUGGCUGGGAGGCUGAAGCAGGAGGAUCUCGAGUUCAAAGCCAGCCUCAGCAACUUAGCAAGACUCUAAGCAGCUCAGUAAGACCCUGUCUCUA
rnacentral:sRNA from 1 species